CGCGGGGUGGAGCAGCCUGGUAGCUCGUCGGGCUCAUAACCCGAAGGCCGUCGGUUCAAAUCCGGCCCCCGCAACCA
rnacentral:tRNA from 4 species